UUUCCGCUUACUUUUCUCAGAAGUUUUUUUGAUAAAAAUAAACGAAAAGGACGUACUAGCGUAUUGCCUUGCUGUGGUUGUCACCGAGGCGAUGCGUUUUUUU
rfam:Lactobacillus harbinensis DSM 16991 NODE_19, whole genome shotgun sequence.